GGUCUGGUUAGGAGUGGAGGUGAAGCGAGGUAUUCCUGAAGCUAAUUGAAGGCAGACUAGCACUCCGCCAUCCAUUGGAAGUCCUUGAUCUACUUUUAGAUCUUGAAUAAUAAAAGAUACUUCUCCGUCGAUCUGGCCAUGAACUUACCAAGCACAACGACUCAUCCCAUGAGGCACUACACUUGCUUAUGGAUCCUCGGAGGUAACAUCUCCAUG
rnacentral:lncRNA from 1 species